CGUCGUCGUCGUCAUCAUCAGCAUCUCUAGCCCUGAUAGGUGCAACGGAUGAUUCUGCUUCAUCAUCAGCUUUGUUGUUGCUACAAGUAAUGUUGUUGCUGAUGCUAAGUUGAAUGAGAAGCUUUGCUACUUCAACCUCUGAUUCAGAGAACACAACAUGCUUCUUAGUGCUCGUGUUUUCACAUGAUUUAGCCAUGAUCUCUUGAGAGAAA
rnacentral:lncRNA from 1 species